rnacentral:rRNA from 1 species
GACAGAGGGUGCAAACGUUGUUCGGAAUUACUGGGCGUAAAGCGCGUGUAGGCGGCCAGAUAAGUCCGGUGUGAAAGUCAAAGGCUCAACCUUUGAAUGCCGCUGGAAACUGUCUGGCUAGAGUCCGGAAGGGGCGAGUGGAACUCCUGGUGUAGCGGUGAAAUGCGCAGAUAUCAGGAAGAACACCAAUGGCGAAGGCAGCUCGCUGGGACGGUACUGACGCUGAGGCGCGAAAGCGUGGGGAGCAAACAGG